GCUGAGGGUUUCUUCCACUUCAGUUGUAGCCCUGCAUGCUUUCUGGGGAGCACACUCUAGCCACCAAGAUGAAGGCACGGGGAGGCCCGACCGUAGGUCGAACACGUCAGUCAGUGGCUGAUCCUUCCCAUGGUCUCUGGAUACACCAGUGAAGGCAGGAGGUGAAGUCUCUCAGGUCACCUGGGAACAACCACGGACACUUGUCUGGGGCUGUGUGAGAAAGUCCAAGGACAGAAUGUUUUUUUCCUUCAUACCAGACGGUGUCUGAGACUCACCUUUGACACAAAUGUAACUGAAAGGGAGAAGCUGCCCCUGGGCAAGCCGGUCAGCUGAAACCACUCAAGAGCCCCCAGUGCAACACCAGUGGGAACACAGGCUGAAUGAGGAUUCUACCCCAGGACUGCCUGGUACCAGGUCUAUGCUCAUGACUCCCCCACCCC
rnacentral:lncRNA from 1 species